GACGAACGCUGGCGGCGUGCUUAACACAUGCAAGUCGAACGGAAAGGCCCUGCUUUUGUGGGGUGCUCGAGUGGCGAACGGGUGAGUAACACGUGAGUAACCUGCCCUUGACUUUGGGAUAACUUCAGGAAACUGGGGCUAAUACCGGAUAGGAGCUCCUGCUGCAUGGUGGGGGUUGGAAAGUUUCGGCGGUUGGGGAUGGACUCGCGGCUUAUCAGCUUGUUGGUGGGGUAGUGGCUUACCAAGGCUUUGACGGGUAGCCGGCCCGAGAGGGUGACCGGCCACAUUGGGACUGAGAUACGGCCCAGACUCCUACGGGAGGCAGCAGUGGGGAAUAUUGCACAAUGGGCGGAAGCAUGAUGCAGCAACGCCGCGUGCGGGAUGACGGCCUUCGGGUUGUAAACCGCUUUCGCCUGUGACGAAGCGUGAGUGACGGUAAUGGGUAAAGAAGCACCGGCUAACUACGUG
rnacentral:rRNA from 1 species